CCUACGGGCGGCAGCAGUGGGGGAUAUUGGACAAUGGGGGGAACCCUGAUCCAGCGACGCCGCGUGAGUGAAGAAGUAUUUCGGUAUGUAAAGCUCUAUCAGCAGGGAAGAAAGAAAUGACGGUACCUGAGUAAGAAGCCCCGGCUAACUACGUGCCAGCAGCCGCGGUAAUACGUAGGGGGCAAGCGUUAUCCGGAUUUACUGGGUGUAAAGGGAGCGUAGACGGCGAUGCAAGUCUGAAGUGAAAGGCGGGGGCCCAAACGCCGGACUGCUUUGGAAACUGUAUGACUGGAGUGCAGGAGAGGUAGGUGGAAUUCCUAGUGUAGCGGUGAAAUGCGUAGAUAUUAGGAGGAACACCAGUGGCGAAGGCGGCCUACUGGACUGUAACUGACGUUGAGGCUCGAAAGCGUGGGGAGCAAACAGGAUUAGAUACCCGAGUAGUC
rnacentral:rRNA from 1 species